rnacentral:rRNA from 1 species
AUUUGUUCUUUAAAUGGGGACUUGUAUCAACGGCACCACGAGGGCCAUACUGUCUCCUUUCUCUAGUCAGUGAAACUGAUCUCCCCGUGAAGAAGCGGGGAUUUAACUAUUAGACGAGAAGACCCCAUGGAGCUUAAAACUCAUCAUAUAAUUCUGUACCUCAUAUCACCUUAAUUCAGAAUCCUAUAUGCUAGUUUUAGGUUGGGGGGACCUCGGAGUAUAAUUUAACCUCCAUAACAAAUGGGCUAAUACCCUUAUCCAAGAUAAACACCUCUAAGAAUUAUUAAAUUAAUGUUUAAUGACCCGAUAUAUUCGAUCAAUGAACCAAGUUACCCUGGGGAUAACAGCGCAAUCUACUUCAAGAGUCCAUAUCGACAAGUAG